CGAACGGGUGAGUAAUGCGUGACCAACCUGCCCCAUGCUCCAGAAUAGCUCUUGGAAACGGGUGGUAAUGCUGGAUGCUCCAACUUGACGCAUGUCUUGUUGGGAAAGUGUUUAGUGGCAUGGGAUGGGGUCGCGUCCUAUCAGCUUGUAGGCGGGGUAAUGGCCCACCUAGGCUUCGACGGGUAGCCGGCCUGAGAGGGCGGACGGCCACAUUGGGCUGAGAUACGGCCCAGACUCCUACGGGAGGCAGCAGCU
rnacentral:rRNA from 1 species